UACGGAGGGUGCAAGCGUUAAUCGGAAUUAUUGGGCGUAAAGGGUGCGUAGGUGGUUAAAUAAGUUAGCUGUAAAAUACCUGGGCUUAACCUAGGAAGGUCAGCUAAAACUGUUAAACUUGGAGUAUAGGAGAGGGUAGUGGAAUUUCCGGUGUAGCGGUGAAAUGCGUAGAUAUCUGGAGGAACACCGGUGGCGAAGGCGGCAUCCUGGACCAACACUGACGCUGAGGAGCGAAAGCCAGGGGGGCAAACGGG
rnacentral:rRNA from 1 species